UAGGCUGUGGCUCAGUGGCAGAGCGCUUGCCUAGUAUGCAUGAGACACUGGGUUCCAUUCUCAGUACCAUAC
rnacentral:tRNA from 1 species